UGGGGGUAACUCUGCUGGGGGAAGUGGCGAAAGGGGCAGUAAGGCGUGGGUAACCUACCCUGGGGACGGGGAUAGCCAUUCUAACGAGUGGGUAAUACCCGGCGAUCUGGCGGGGAGACAUCUCUCUGCCAGGAAAUGAGUUUCGCCUCAGGAGGGGCUCACGUGGUAUUAGCUUGUUGGUGAGGUAACGGCUCACCAAGGCCAAGAUGCCUAGCAGGUGUGAGAGCACGACCUGCGCCACUGGCACUGAGACACUGGCCAGACUCCUACGGGAGGCUGCAGUCGAGGAUCUUCGGCAAUGGGCGCAAGCCUGACCGAGCGACGCCGCGUGUGCGAUGAAGGCCUUCGGGUUGUAAAGCACUGUCGAGGGGGAGGAAAGCCCGCAAGGGUCUGACCUAUCCCUGGAGGAAGCACGGGCUAAGUUCGUGCCAGCAGCCGCGGUAAGACGAACCGUGCAAACGUUGUUCGGAUUCACUGGGCUUAAAGGGCGCGUAGGCGGGUGGCCAAGUCAGGGGUGAAAUCUUUCGGCUUAACCGGAAAACAGCUUUUGAUACUGGCCAUCUCGAGGGAGGUAGGGGCAUGUGGAACUUCCGGUGGAGCGGUGAAAUGCGUAGAUAUCGGAAGGAACGCCGGUGGCGAAAGCGACGUGCUGGACCUUUUCUGACGCUGAGGCGCGAAAGCCAGGGGAGCAAACGGGAUUAGAUACCCCGGUAGUCCUGGCCCUAAACGAUGGGUACUAGAUUGUGGACUUGACAUGGGUUCACAGUCGAAGCAAAAGUGUUAAGUACCCCGCCUGGGGAGUAUGGUCGCAAGGCUG
rnacentral:rRNA from 1 species